UCACACUGGGACCUAAAGGGGUGUCAUGAAGGUGACGCACCAGUGCUAAGGAAGGAAACCAUGGAAAGGGGGACCUACUCACUCUGCUUUUCCAUUAUGACCUCAUUCUUAAAACUUCUGACAGAAAGCACACAUUGCUAAGUUCUUGUCCCUGCAUUCACUGACAAGUGCCAGAAGGAUCAGACAGACAUCACAUCUCCAGCUACUGACCCCAGAUCACACAUCCAGGAGACAGGAAGCAACAUCUUGACACUUUUCACCAUGCAUCCUCCUCUUGAAUCAGUGGACUAUUUGUAACUUUUGCCAGUGGAGUGCAAUGUUGAAGAGGAACUCUCACUGUGGAAUGAAUGAAGGAGAACUCCAUAAAUCCAGAGACUUACACAGCAAAGGCAUUUCAAAGACCAACUAUGGAUACAUACAGAAGCUAGAGACAUACAAAGAUUGGGUACUUGGCUCAAGGUCACAUGGCUAAGAGGCCAAAUGGGGACUGGAAACCACAUUUUCUGACAACUUGAUCUAUGCCCUUUCCAAGCGCCUUCUCUGUCCACACUCCUCUUUUGCUCUGUGAAAUGCUGGGAAAGAGACGAGCUUAACAUAAUCACCAGAGAAAGGGAAGAUAGAGUUUCAUGUCCAAAAAUGUCAAACCCUAAUUUCUUGGUAGGAUAAAAAUACAAGAAUAAAAAAA